AUUGAACGCUGGCGGCAUGCUUUACACAUGCAAGUCGAACAGUAACAGGGAGCUUGCUCCGCUGACGAGUGGCGAACGGGUGAGUAAUAUAUCGGAACGUACCCAAGAGUGGGGGAUAACGUAGCGAAAGUUACGCUAAUACCGCAUACGAUCUAAGGAUGAAAGCAGGGGACCUUCGGGCCUUGUGCUCCUGGAGCGGCCGAUAUCUGAUCAGCUAGUUGGUGAGGUAAAGGCUCACCAAGGCGACGAUCAGUAGCUGGUCUGAGAGGACGACCAGCCACACUGGAACUGAGACACGGUCCAGACUCCUACGGGAGGCAGCAGUGGGGAAUUUCGGACAAUGGGCGCAAGCCUGAUCCAGCAAUGCCGCGUGAGUGAAGAAGGCCUUCGGGUUGUAAAGCUCUUUUGUCAGGGAAGAAACGGCUGUGGCUAAUAUCCACGGCUAAUGACGGUACCUGAAGAAUAAGCACCGGCUAACUACGUGCCAGCCGCCGCCGCGG
rnacentral:rRNA from 1 species